rnacentral:lncRNA from 1 species
AUUCAUCUCUUGGAGUUUGUGGUCUAUAUCGACUUUGUGGGAUGUGUAACCUUUAUGUGUCGGGAUGGAGAUCGGCCUAGAGUGAAUCUCUUGCCAGAGUGAGGAAUGGGAGAGUGCCUCCUCCUCUUGGGGCUUAAAGUUUGACUCAACCACAUCUAUCUUCUCCAAUCUAGACUUUGAGGGGGAGGUUGAGGUGGUUGUUAUUGGGGCACCUCUUGCAUCGGAUUUGGUUGUUGCAUGACAUUGAUCACUGCGGUCAAUGCCUGCACCUAGAUGAUCAAAGCAUUGAAUUGGUCUUGAUUCACCCCCACAGCUGGCUAGAGUGCAGAGAUGCCUCCAGUUGUUAAGCCAAAGAAUUAUUUCCAAUUGGAUUUUCAAUCGAUCGGCCCACUGCAGCA